rnacentral:rRNA from 1 species
AUCCUGGCUCAGAUUGAACGCUGGCGGCAUGCCUUACACAUGCAAGUCGAACGGCAGCACGGGAGCAAUCCUGGUGGCGAGUGGCGAACGGGUGAGUAAUAUAUCGGAACGUGCCCAGUCGUGGGGGAUAACGUAGCGAAAGCUACGCUAAUACCGCAUACGAUCUAUGGAUGAAAGCGGGGGAUCGCAAGACCUCGCGCGAUUGGAGCGGCCGAUAUCAGAUUAGGUAGUUGGUGAGGUAAAGGCUCACCAAGCCGACGAUCUGUAGCUGGUUUGAGAGAACGACCAGCCACACUGGGACUGAGACACGGCCCAGACUCCUACGGGAGGCAGCAGUGGGGAAUUUUGGACAAUGGGCGAAAGCCUGAUCCAGCAAUGCCGCGUGCAGGAAGAAGGCCUUCGGGUUGUAAACUGCUUUUGUACGGAACGAAAAGGCUCUUUCUAAUAAAGAGGGCCCAUGACGGUACCGUAAGAAUAAGCACCGGCUAACUACGUG